GCUGGGAUAGCUCAGUCGGUAGAGCACGAGACUCUCAAUCUCAAGGUUGUGGGUUCGAGCCCCACAUUGAGCA
rnacentral:tRNA from 1 species